AUGAUGAUGUGCUGGAGCCAGUACACAGGCUUGAGAGAGCCGGGGGUGUCCAUCUCUUCCCAAUCCACAUGCCGUGAUGUCCUGUUGGUGACUCGAAGUUGGCCACAGUGGACCUGAAAUCCAGCCCACACUCUGCUCACCACCCUGUGGGCCUUGUCCCAGGACUCAUCCCUUCUCUUCUGGAGCCAUUUCCAAUUCUGCCCAAAAGGACAGCCUGAAGUGCUGGACCCUGGGUACCUGGCUGAAGACUUUGGACUUUAACCUGGAGAUGAUGGAGAGUAUGCAGGAUAAAGUCCAUACCAAAUCCAACGCCUAGCAAAUGGAGAACAAGCCAAAACUAACAAGAUAAAAUGUAGCAGGAAAAAGUGCAAAGAGCUGAAGUGUGGAAUAAGUGGGAGAGGUCUGCCAUGCCCUAUCUGACCUUGCUGCCAUGAUCUUUAAGGCUGUGUGUCCUGGUUGGUGCAGCUACAAGAUGGCAGAAAUGCCUAAGUGAUGGUAUGGAACAGAGGAUCCCUCUUCUCACCAUUGUCUUGCAUGUUUCCUUGUGUGAACCACAAAUAAACUUUUGUUAUGUUAAGCUGCUGAGAUUUUGUGUUUGAUUUAUUACUGUAGCAAAGCAUAUCCUAAAGUAUUAGCUCUGUGAUCUUGUGCAAGCUACUUAAUGGUGACGUUGUAAAAAGGGGAGUAUAAGAUCUUCCUGAAAGAGUCAUCUUAAA
rnacentral:lncRNA from 1 species